AGGGAAAAGCUUCUAUCUAAAUACACAUAGCAUAACAAUCACCCCUGGAAAAACUACAUGGCUUACCAAAAGAGGUCUCUCUGUUCACUGUCCAUUAUCUGUUGACUGAACUAGUUCAAAUGAAUAACAAGUAAUGAUCAAAUUGCCAGUUUAUAUUUUACAACAGUCUUAUCUUUAAAAAAAAUGCAAGGAGGAAAUACAAAAAUGUAAUACAUUUAUCUUACUUUCUUUUCUAUUUCCUCCCCUGAAAUUAUUACUAUGCUAUUGGAAGCCAUACAAACACAUAUAUACACAAAUAUACAUAUGCUUCAAUGAAAAGCAGGCAUGCAGCUGAUAGCUCGGUAACCCUGAGCACAGAAUUUUGAAGAGAGAAUACACUAAAAGGGAAGAACAUAACUACAUGACAUCAUAAGAAGUCCUGAAUUAGAAGCGUAUAUUUGAAAGGUCAUGCAUCCUGAGCUGCCAACAGCUUAACAACCAGAGGCAGAGGCCACCUUUGCCAGCUCACUGCUUCUACUCAUCUUUCAUGAUAGUAGCCAGGCUGAAUAUAGUUCCAGGAUGAUAAUGAAUUGGCUGGGCAUACUGUUUAUAUUAGUAUGUAUGUUCCUGUACUAAACCAAGCAUCAUGAGGCCAGCACUAUUUUGCCAUUUUUCAGAAAAAAAAUAUGAACCCUUCAAAACAUAGUAUAGCAUACUCAAUGAUACAGAACUCUCUCCAGAGAAAAGAGGGAAUUAAAGAAAUUAGAAGAUAACAGGUUGCAUAUUCUAGCUGUAAAAACAGACACUUCAGGAUAGGUUUGGAAUCAUUUUGUCCAUAAGCAAGAUAUAACCUCCUGAUAUUUUGAUUGUAAUUACAUUGAAUCUGUGGAACAAUUUGGAAAGAACCAACAUCUUGAGAAUUAUGACACUGAAGCUGAGAGCUGAAUAGCAAGAAGCAGCAAGGCAUGGAAGAGCCCAAGUAAGAAGGAGCCCAGAAUCUGACGUCACCUUUUCUCAAGUUAUUCAAUUCAAAUACCUUCCAAUUGCAUAUAUCUAUUACCCAUAGCCCUCUACUGCCUGUGAGACUGAAAAGGGACAAAAAGACAACACAUUGGAGGCCGAGGAGGGCAGAUCACCUGAGGUCAGGAGUUCGAGAGCAGCCUUACCAACAUGGUGAAGCCCCAUCUCUAAUAAAAAUACACAAAUUAGCCAGGCAUGGUGGCACAGGCCUGUAAUCCCAGCUACUUGGGAGGCUGAGGCAGGAGAAUCUCUUCAACCUGGGAGGCGGAAGUUGCAGUGAGCCAAGACCGCAACAAUGCACUCCAGCCUGGACAACAAGACUGAAACUCCAUCUCAAAAAAAAAAAAAAAAAAAUACAACACAAUGUUAAAAGUGGCCCCAUCCUUCCCUUUACUGUUCAGGAUUUAUCACAGGGGCUAAAAUAGGUACAGAAUAUGAUAGUAAAGAAAUCAAAUCCCUUUGGCAUGAUUACAGAGUUGAAUCAACCAAGAUAAAGAAGAAUAUGAUGAAAAGAAGUUGAGAAUUUUACCUCUAAAUUCAUUAUCAUACUAUAAACCAGAGAUUUGACCU